UUUUAUAGGAGAUUUGUAAAAAAAAUAGAGAAAAUCGCAAGAAGCAAGUAAUUCCUCAUACUAGUGGCUCUAAACCUAUCUCAAGAAGAAGACAUGAGAUGCUUUUGGAUAGUGGAAAACUGCCUAGUCGUGGAAUGUUAUAUAUUGAAACUCAUAAAAGAAAAGAUGGCUCAUUUGUAAAUGAGGCGGCAAAGGCUAUAGCGGUUA